rnacentral:rRNA from 1 species
UACGUAGGGUGCAAGCGUUGUCCGGAAUUAUUGGGCGUAAAGAGCUCGUAGGCGGUCUGUCGCGUCGGCUGUGAAAACCCGGAGCUCAACUCCGGGCCUGCAGUCGAUACGGGCAAACUGGAGUGUUGCAGGGGAGACUGGAAUUCCUGGUGUAGCGGUGAAAUGCGCAGAUAUCAGGAGGAACACCGGUGGCGAAGGCGGUUCUCUGGGCAUUACCUGACGCUGAGGAGCGAAAGUGUGGGGAGCGAACAGG